AUAAACAUGUAAAGUGAUGACAAAUGAUGAGAAAUGGUAUAAAACAGUGAUGAUAUGAUGAUAAAGUGAUGACAAAUGGAUGCUCAAUACAUUCAAAAUACACACUUAUCAACUCCCCCAAACUUAGUCUUUGCUUGCUCUCAAGCAAACAAUCAAGAACAAGCUGGAGGUGAGGUUUGAAAGCGGGGACUCAGGGCCAAAGCACCAGAUAAACCAUAUGAA
rnacentral:sRNA from 1 species